UACGAAGGGAGCUAGCGUUGUUCGGAAUUACUGGGCGUAAAGCGCACGUAGGCGGGUUGUUAAGUCAGGGGUGAAAUCCCGGAGCUCAACUCCGGAACUGCCUUUGAUACUGGCAACCUAGAGGCUGGAAGAGGUUAGUGGAAUUCCCAGUGUAGAGGUGAAAUUCGUAGAUAUUGGGAAGAACACCAGUGGCGAAGGCGGCUAACUGGUCCAGUACUGACGCUGAGGUGCGAAAGCGUGGGGAGCAAACAGG
rnacentral:rRNA from 1 species